CAGCAGCCGCGGUAAUACGGGGGGGGCAAGCGUUGUUCGGAAUUACUGGGCGUAAAGGGCUCGUAGGCGGCCAACUAAGUCAGACGUGAAAUCCCCAGGCUUAACCUGGGAACUGCGUCUGAUACUGGAUGGCUUGAAUUCGGGAGAGGGAUGCAGAAUUCCAGGUGUAGCGGUGAAAUGCGUAGAUAUCUGGAGGAAUACCGGUGGCGAAGGCGGCAUCCUGGACCGACAUUGACGCUGAUGAGCGAAAGCUAGGGGAGCAAACGGGAUUAGAUACCCCGGUAGUCCUAGCCCUAAACGAUGAAUGCUUGGUGUGGCGGGUAUCGAUCCCUGCCGUGCCGAAGCUAACGCAUUAAGCAUUCCGCCUGGGGAGUACGGUCGCAAGGCUGAAACUCAAAUGAAUUGACGG
rnacentral:rRNA from 1 species